rnacentral:lncRNA from 1 species
ACUAAUGCUGAGAUGGGCAUUACAAUUUUCUUUCAAGGGAACAGACCAAACCAAACUGCGACUUUAUUUGUAAAUAUUUGAAAUUUAUAUUAUGUCUCUUAUGUGAUCUCAGAGGACUUAAUUUUUAUGUGGGGACAUCAAGCUACCUUUAGUGACUUACAAGCUAUCAACCAACAAGAGUUUUCCCUUCUUUUGGAGCCUGCUAAGCUAUCAACAAACAAAGAGGUUGUCCGUUCUCUUGCUAAUGAAAUAUGUAUUUACUAGAAUUUUUGUUAUUAUCAGAAGAGGGUUAUAUUUUUAUGGGAGGCUGCAUUUGUUAUGGUUCGGUAUUUCUAAAGGGGUACAUUUCUUUGUAGGUACUAUGCUGAGACUGAAGAGGAUGCUAGCCAGCGGCCCACCUCUCUUGUCGUCACCGCUGAGCCGCCAUGUCUCCUUCAGAGGCUUACUGUAUUGCUACAUGUUUAUGCUUCUUAUCCACUCACCCAUUGUAGUGUAGGUUUGUGUUCUUGGAUCUCUUUCCCUCCAUUUCUUAUUUUUGGUGAGCGGGUGAGCUAAUUGGGCUAUUUUCCUCUAGGUCUAUUGCGGCAAUUGAAUGCUUCAAAGGAUUUUAAUGGAGUUCAUUGUAGCUGAGUCGUGAAUCUCCAGCUUGCUUCCAUGUCUUUUCUCACUAGAGACACCUCCUGCCGGCGAUGGCGAUGACCGCUACCCUGCUCCUCUCCCGGCAAAGGCAUGUCUACCUCUCCUGUG